GUGUCAGCAGCCGCGGUAAUACGUAGGUGGCAAGCGUUGUCCGGAUUUACUGGGCGUAAAGCGCCCGCAGGCGGCCUGUCAAGUUCGAGGUGAAAUCUCCCGGCUUAACUGGGAGGGUGCCUCGAAAACUGGCAGGCUUGAGGUGUGGAGAGGGAUGCAGAAUUCCUGGUGUAGCGGUGAAAUGCGUAGAUAUCAGGAGGAAUACCAGUGGCGAAGGCGGCAUCCUGGCCAUAUCCUGACGCUCAGGGGCGAAAGCGUGGGGAGCAAACCGGAUUAGAAACCCCAGUAGUCC
rnacentral:rRNA from 1 species